CAUCUACCGCGCUUCAUUUCGUCAGGCAGGUGGCUUAUCAUCUUGCUGCUCAGGAAAGAAAGGAUGUUGGCAGAAGACAUGAAACUCCUUGGUCAGAGACAAAGGAUUCUGUCAUACAUGGCACAAAUUCUGCUAAGACCCUACUCCUAAAUCAAAGUGGAAACUUGAAGUCUGAAAGAGACAGAGACAGCCAGCGAGAGAGGGAACACAAGCAGGAGG